rnacentral:misc_RNA from 1 species
AUGCUAUAGUAAUCUAUCCCUUAACUACUUUCUGUGAAUGUGUGUGUCUUAAAGCUA